rnacentral:rRNA from 1 species
GCUCACCAAGACGACGACGGGUAGCCGGCCUGAGAGGGCGACCGGCCACACUGGGACUGAGACACGGCCCAGACUCCUACGGGAGGCAGCAGUGGGGAAUAUUGCACAAUGGGGGAAACCCUGAUGCAGCGACGCAGCGUGCGGGAUGACGGCCUUCGGGUUGUAAACCGCUUUCAGCAGGGAAGAAGCCNNUCGGGGUGACGGUACCUGCAGAAGAAGUACCGGCUAACUACGUGCCAGCAGCCGCGGUAAUACAAA